CUAGCCUGCGUGGUGAAGUAUAUAUAUUUCAGUUUUGAGGUGGCUGAAGAUGGCAUGGAAUACUAAACAAUAUAACAAGAAUUUGUUUUUCUCAAUGGAUAUUGUGAAGCAAAGCUAAGUUCAAGUGCUGGAAAACCAAUCCCUUGUUGCCAGCAGACUAGCAGACAACCGAUAAAAGGUCGCAUCACUGGGUAUAUAUUCCAGGAAGAGGCAUUGCCAUGCGUCAAAGCUGUAAUAUUCUACAGUAAUGGAAAAAUCAUUUGUAGCAAUCCCAAAAUGCCCUGGGUGAAAAUCAAGAUUGAACAGUUUGAAAGCAGUCAAUAAACACUUGUGCCUAGGCUCCAAGACAAGCUCCCAGCCUCUAUCAUUAAUAUAUCAGAGAUCAACUACCCAACCACAUCAUUCAACUCAAUGCCUAUAGCCAUUAUAUAUUCAGGAGGCAAGAUUGGUUCUGUUAUUUUAUUUUAAGCAUGGUUAUAUAGUAACUAAAGAAUCUUUUUGGCUGAAAAAGACCAAAGUGCAGUUGUUCCCCAGAAUGUUAGCCAUUUUUUAGGAAUACAGAAUGACUAGGGAUGAGAAGUUUACUCCUUUACUAAAUGUCUUGCUAUUCCUGAAUAGAUAACAAUCCCCUCAAAGAUUAUAAUAAGCAAGACAUCCCAUGAUUGCAGUGGCAGCUCCUAUGUUAUUCAUUAUUACAAAUGCAGAAUAACUGGUUAUCAGUUCUUCAGUUUCCACAAUGAAAUGAGUUUCAGUGAGAUAUCUGCCAUUCUGGGGAACAGCUGCACUUGUGAGUUGGUUUUCUGAUAAAAUGAUAUUGCUUAUUUAAAAAUGAGACGAUUAUUUAGCCAUUAUUUAUUAUUAUUAUUAUUAUUAUUAUUAUUAUUAUUAUUAUUAUUAUUAUUGGGAUCAUAAUGUAAGGAUUUAAGAAGGGGUCAAUUAUAAUCCCUGGGGGACAAACAAGACAGUACAGAUAUUUGGACUGUUUUAGAUUAUUAAAAUAGGCCCCAGUUUGUAUGAAGUACCUUAAUGCAUAUGCAAUAGCAGUUUUAAUUUUCGUGUGAUUUGUAAUUUGUCUCUUCAUACUAAGUGCUUUAAAACAUCAUAUUUAUUUUGAUUGAACAAAAAGGCUGGCAUCUGUGGCAUUGACUAACGUUGUGUUGAUGGAAUGGAUUGGGUGGACAGUGUAUAUGUUAUGUGAUCCACAUAGCUUUUUAUAUGUAAGUGUUCUUAUAAUUAAGUUAUUCAGUUCAGAAGGUAUUUUGGAUGACAAUUGUAUUGUUAUUUUGGUAUAUUUUCAACAUGUGUCCUCAUUUUUACUUUCAUUGAUGUGUGAAUUCUGAAUUAUGAAAUAUGUAUUUAUAUUUAUACAUUGUUUGUUUAAGACAGAAAUCUAUUAUAUAUUAAAUUAACUGCACUGUAUUUAAGUAAUAUCAACUACCGCUGUGUCUUAGUGUGUAACUACAUGGUCUCAGUUGCUUGAUGUUUGUACAUUUUCCAAUAAAAGCCUCAACUCACAUCAAUA